UACGUAUGGUGCAAACGUUGUUCGGAAUCACUGGGCAUAAAGAGCGCGUAGGCGGUUCUGUAAGUCUGAUGUGAAAUCCCCCGGCUUAACCGGGGAACUGCAUCGGAUACUGCCGGACUAAGAGUGCAGGAGGGGAGAGCGGAAUUCCUGGUGGAGCGGUGAAAUGCGUAGAUAUCAGGAGGAACGCCGGUGGCGAAAGCGGCUCUCUGGCCUGCAACUGACGCUGAGGCGCGAAAGCUAGGGGAGCAAACGGG
rnacentral:rRNA from 1 species